GACGAACGCUGGCGGCGUGCUUAACACAUGCAAGUCGAACGGAAAGGCCCUGCUUUUGUGGGGUGCUCGAGUGGCGAACGGGUGAGUAACACGUGAGUAACCUGCCCUUGACUUUGGGAUAACUUCAGGAAACUGGGGCUAAUACCGGAUAGGAGCUCCUGCUGCAUGGUGGGGGUUGGAAAGUUUCGGCGGUUGGGGAUGGACUCGCAGCUUAUCAGCUUGUUGGUGGGGUAGUGGCUUACCAAGGCUUUGACGGGUAGCCGGCCUGAGAGGGUGACCGGCCACAUUGGGACUGAGAUACGGCCCAGAAUCCUACGGGAGGCAGCAGUGGGGAAUAUUGCACAAUGGGCGGAAGCCUGAUGCAGCAACGCCGCGUGCGGGAUGACGGCCUUCGGGUUGUAAACCGCUUUCGCAUGUGACGAAGCGUGAGUGACGGUAAUGGGUAAAGAAGCACCGGCUAACUACGUG
rnacentral:rRNA from 1 species